CCUGGUGGCUCAGUUGGUAAAGCAUCUGCCUGCAGUGCAGGAGACCCAGGUUUGAUCCCUGGGUCAGGA
rnacentral:tRNA from 1 species